rnacentral:rRNA from 1 species
UACGUAGGGUGCGAGCGUUAAUCGGAAUUACUGGGCGUAAAGCGUGCGCAGGCGGUUUUGUAAGACAGAGGUGAAAUCCCCGGGCUCAACCUGGGAACUGCCUUUGUGACUGCAAGGCUUGAGUGCGGCAGAGGGGGAUGGAAUUCCGCGUGUAGCAGUGAAAUGCGUAGAUAUCGAGAGGAACACCUGCGGCGAAGGCGGGUUGCUGGGCUGACACUGACGCUGAUGCGCGAAAGCCAGGGGAGCGAACGGG